UUGACCUCAAAUCGGGUGAGACUACCCGCUGAACUUAAGCU
rnacentral:rRNA from 1 species